UAAGCAUCCAAGAGAUCCUCCCUAGAGAGCACAAUUAGGUAUGGUCGUUCUCCCCUGUCAAAAGAAUGAUUCUGAAAUCGCAAUAGGGGUAUAUAUAGGUGAGGAAUACGUCAGAAAAUGGGCCCAAGUCCAGCGAGUCACCGCCGGGCAGCACACUUAAACCGCCCAAUUGACAUGUGAAAAUAAUUGUUUUUCAACCUUCAUCAUUAGUGAAUUAACGAAAUGCGUUGAAUUUGUUAUUAAAUUAAAGAAAUUCGUUGAAUUUUUUAGUGAAUUAAAGAAAUUCUUCGAAUUUAUUAGUGAGUUAAAGAAAUUCGUUGAAUUUGUUAGUGAAUUAAAGAAAUUCGUUGAAUUUUUUAGUGAAUUAAAGAAAUGCAUUGAAUUUGUUAGAAAUUAAAGAAAUUAGUUGAAUUUGUUAGUGAAUUAAAGAAAUUN
rnacentral:lncRNA from 1 species